rnacentral:rRNA from 1 species
UAAUGCUUAGGAAUCUGCCUAGUAGUGGGGGAUAACCCGGGGAAACUCGGGCUAAUACCGCAUACGCCCUACGGGGGAAAGCGGGGGACUUUCGGGCCUCGCGCUAUUAGAUGAGCCUAAGUCCGAUUAGCUAGUUGGUAGGGUAAUGGCCUACCAAGGCGACGAUCGGUAGCUGGUCUGAGAGGACGACCAGCCACACUGGGACUGAGACACGGCCCAGACUCCUACGGGAGGCAGCAGUGGGGAAUAUUGGACAAUGGGCGCAAGCCUGAUCCAGCGAUGCCGCGUGUGUGAAGAAGGCCUGCGGGUUGUAAAGCACUUUCAGUAGGGAAGAAAAGCCGAGUGCUAAUAUCACUUGGUCUUGACGUUACUUACAGAAGAAGCACCGGCUAACUCCGUGCCAGCAGCCGCGGUAAUACGGAGGGUGCGAGCGUUAAUCGGAAUUACUGGGCGUAAAGGGCGCGUAGGCGGUUUGGUAAGUCGGGUGUGAAAGCCCCGGGCUCAACCUGGGAAUUGCAUUCGAUACUGCCUGGCUAGAGUAUGGUAGAGGGAAGCGGAAUUCCGGGUGUAGCGGUGAAAUGCGUAGAUAUCCGGAGGAACACCAGUGGCGAAGGCGGCUUCCUGGACCAAUACUGACGCUGAGGCGCGAAAGCGUGGGGAUCAAACAGGAUUAGAUACCCUGGUAGUCCACGCCCUAAACGAUGAGAACUAGCCGUUGGAGGAGCUUUGUCCUUUAGUGGCGCAGCUAACGCGAUAAGUUCUCCGCCUGGGGAGUACGGCCGCAAGGUUA